ACGAACGCUGGCGGCGUGCCUCAUACAUGCAAGUAGAACGCACAGUUUAUACCGUAGCUUGCUACACCAUAAACUGUGAGUUGCGAACGGGUGAGUAACGCGUAGGUAACCUGCCUGGUAGCGGGGGAUAACUAUUGGAAACGAUAGCUAAUACCGCAUAAUAUUGAUUAUUGCAUGAUAAUUGAUUGAAAGAUGCUAUUGCAUCACUACCAGAUGGACCUGCGUUGUAUUAGCUAGUAGGUGAGGUAACGGCUCACCUAGGCGACGAUACAUAGCCGACCUGAGAGGGUGAUCGGCCACACUGGGACUGAGACACGGCCCAGACUCCUACGGGAGGCAGCAGUAGGGAAUCUUCGGCAAUGGACGAAAGUCUGACCGAGCAACGCCGCGUGAGUGAAGAAGGUUUUCGGAUCGUAAAGCUCUGUUGUAAGAGAAGAACGGGUGUGAGAGUGGAAAGUUCACACUGUGACGGUAUCUUACCAGAAAGAGACGGCUAACUACGUG
rnacentral:rRNA from 1 species